UAGAGUUUGAUCCUGGCUCAGGACGAACGCUGGCGGCGCGCUUAACACAUGCAAGUCGAGCGAGAACCGGUCCUUCGGGACCGGGGAAAGCGGCGAACGGGUGAGUAACACGUGGGCAACCCACCCUUGGUACUGGGAUAGCCCGGGGAAACCCGGAUUAAUACCGGAUGGCCCAGCAGCUCUUCGGGGCGGCUGGAAAAGGGAGCUUCGGCCUCCGACCAAGGACGGGCCCGCGGCGGAUUAGCUUGUUGGUGGGGUAACGGCCCACCAAGGCGACGAUCCGUAGCUGGUCUGAGAGGACGAUCAGCCACACUGGGACUGAGACACGGCCCAGACUCCUACGGGAGGCAGCAGUGGGGAAUCUUGCGCAAUGGGCGAAAGCCUGACGCAGCGACGCCGCGUGGGGGAAGAAGGCUCUCGGGUUGUAAACCCCUUUCAGGAAGGACGAAGCUCCUCGGGUGAAUAGCCCAGAGGGUGACGGUACUUCCAGAAGAAGCCCCGGCUAACUACGUGCCAGCAGCCGCGGGCCCAAUCGCC
rnacentral:rRNA from 1 species